UACGUAGGGUGCAAGCGUUGUCCGGAAUUAUUGGGCGUAAAGAGCUUGUAGGCGGUUUGUCGCGUCUGCUGUGAAAUUUCGGGGCUCAACCCCGAACUUGCAGUGGGUACGGGCAGACUAGAGUGUGGUAGGGGAGACUGGAAUUCCUGGUGUAGCGGUGAAAUGCGCAGAUAUCAGGAGGAACACCGAUGGCGAAGGCAGCUCUCUGGGACGGUACUGACACUGAGACGCGAAAGCGUGGGGAGCGAACAGG
rnacentral:rRNA from 1 species